UACGUAGGGGGCUAGCGUUGUCCGGAUUUAUUGGGCGUAAAGAGCGUGUAGGCGGCCAGAGUAGUCAGACUGUGAAACUCGAGGCUCAACCGUCGGAACAUGUCGGCUGGAAACCAAUCGUGGCGUAAGACGUCCGGGAAGAGGAUGAAUGGACGUUCCGGUAGUAGCGGUGAAAUGCGCAGAUAGUCGGGAAGAACCAGCCCGGUCGGCGAAAGGCGGGUUCCUCUGGGGACCGG
rnacentral:rRNA from 1 species